CACAAUGUUUCAACUAACUCGGC
rnacentral:miRNA from 1 species